GAAUAUUAGACAAUGGGGGGAACCCUGAUCCAGCCAUGCCGCGUGUGUGAAGAAGGCCUUUUGGUUGUAAAGCACUUUAAGCGGGGAGGAGGCUACUCUAGUUAAUACCUAUGGUACGUGGACGUGUCUCGCAGACUAAGCACCGGCUAACUCUGUGCCUGCAGCCGCGGUAAUACAGAGGGUGCAAGCGUUAAUCGGAUUUACUGGGCGUAAAGAGUGCGUAGGCGGCCAAUUAAGUCAAAUGUGAAAUCCCCGAGCUUAACUUGGGAAUUGCAUUCGAUACUGGUUGGCUAGAGUAUGGGAGAGGAUGGUAGAAUUCCAGGUGUAGCGGUGAAAUGCGUAGAGAUCUGGAGGAAUACCGAUGGCGAAGGCAGCCAUCUGGCCUAAUACUGACGCUGAGGUACGAAAGCAUGGGGAGCAAACAG
rnacentral:rRNA from 1 species